GAUCAUAAAAGUCUGUUUGGGUUAGUAUAGAGAAUCUAGUCAGUACUGUUUUACAAAACUCUUUGCUGUGAUGGAUAUGUUGUAAAAUUCUCACUGUCCAAUGCAGUGGCCAUUAGCCCCAUGUGAAUCUUGAGUCCUGGAAGUGUGGCUGUUGCAACUGAGGAACUAAAUUUUUAUUUUAUUUCAAUGAAUUUAAAUUAAAACAACCACAUCUGGCUAGUGGCUGCCGUAUUGUAUAACCAGCUCUAGAAUGAAUAUAUGAAAAUUGGUUGGGGCACUCUUGGUUAAUUGAUGGGGUAAGGAAACCAGAGCUGACAAACCAAGGUAACCGGUGGAGCCUCUGCUAGUCCCUGAAGCCCACGCAUUCCUCAUUUUCCUCUUCAGUGCAUACAACUAAUGUGGCAGGUCUGCCGCUUGAUCCUAAAGGAGCAGGUGAUCCUGACCAUAAAAGUAUGAUAAAUGAUGCAUCUAAGAGGUGGCAAAGUGUAGCCACCUCCUCCUUCAGGAGAGCUACCUCUAAUGAAUUUCAUCGUUUCCUUUCCAAGGUGUGCACGUCUAGUAGGAGACAAUCACUAAUUGCCUGCUGACUAGAUCGUCAAACAAAAUUCUGAUGACCAGCUGGCUCUAAUUAUUGUCAUUCCUUUGCAGGCCAAGUAUCCCAAAUAGAGUCUGGCAUAGAGAAGUCAAUAGAUGCUUGUGGAAUUGAAUCAGCAUGGACAUGAAGACAGGCAGAGAGCAGGGAGCAGGAGAGGGAGACACAGACUCCUCAAGCACACUCGGCCCCAAGCGCAGAGCCUGCCAGGGGCGGGUUCCCAGGAUGCUGAGGCCAUGACCUGAGCCACAACCAAGAGUCAGAUGCUAAGUGACAGAGCCACAGGCGUCAAGCCCCGUGUUCCUGCUGUGGGCACUCCUGCCUUCCCCCUGCCCCCCGCAGCCACUGAGAGCUCGGGCUUUGGUCUGCGCUCCAACUCCCAGGUGGUCUGGAGGCUACAGUGCAGGCUGCACGUCUCCUCUGUCCCACCUCAGGCUGAAAGGGCCUCAGCCCUGAGAAGGAAUCAGAUCUGCCCAACCACCCCCAGCCGGAGGGAGCUGCUGGAGCAGCAGGUAGAAGAACUGGUGCCUGCCUUGCUGCACAUUGACUCCUUGUCCAUAUUUGAAUUCCUAAAUGUUUUGGAGGAAUAUGGCACCCCUGAAGAGGUGCUGGACCUGCUGUUUGCAAAGUGAACACCCUGACUCCACAGCCCAGUGGGAUGGGCCACCUACUUGUUGGGAGUCUUGGGGAAUGUUCCUGAACUUCCCGGCC